UACGAAGGGGGGCUAGCGUUGCUCGGAAUCACUGGGCGUAAAGCGCACGUAGGCGGAUCUUUAAGUCAGGGGGUGAAAUCCCAAGGCUCAACCUUGGAACUGCCUUUGAUACUGGGGAUCUCGAGUCCGGAAGAGGUUGGUGGAACUGCGAGUGUAGAGGUGAAAUUCGUAGAUAUUCGCAAGAACACCAGUGGCGAAGGCGGCCAACUGGUCCGGUACUGACGCUGAGGUGCGAAAGCGUGGGGGAGCAAACAGGAUUAA
rnacentral:rRNA from 1 species